CUUUAAGUCACCCUCAAGCUUUCUCUUGGCUCUCUCGAGGUCCAUACGAAGCUUCUUCUCUUGCUCAAGAGAUCCCUCAAGCUGAAAAGAUUCUGAUGCCUUCCAGCACACCGUUACAGCGCAGCUGGUGCAUGACCAAUGGAUUCUCCAUAGCCCCAGGAGUCUUGGACUCGUUGGGGAUGAUGCAGCGCACAAAGUGGGGGGCCCCUGACCACUGCAGCUGUUCCAGGAAACAGGCUCCUCCCCUGGGUCCAGGCUCCUCCUCUAAGUCCACUGGCCAGAAGCAUCACUUUGAGCUACUCGAAGGAGACUUGCUGCUACUUUCAGUAGAUGGCCACCUCACUGAGAAUCUCUCCGAGAAAGCAAAAUAAUGGCUCUGUGAUUCUUAAUCACUCCCCCCAGUUACGUAUGGAUUUUUUUCAUCUUAAAUGUUAGUAGUCUAAAACAUGGUGUUAUGUAGGCUAAGAUAUGGUGGAUAAUAUAAAAGGAUGCUCUAAAACUAAAAUUGUAUUGCAUUUAGAAAUGUAGUGCAGAGUCCUUACAGGGUAUUUCUCCCUUUCUAAUUAUACAGGAGGAUUUUGUAGCUGAAUAAAAGACCCUGGUGACACUCAAUGGAAGAUGUGCGUUACUCGUUUGAAGUGGAAGCUCACCUA